UUGAAAAGUACGAGUUUGGAGCAGCCACCAGUGGCAAACAUUUCGUACCAAGUUUAAUGAAAAACCGAUUGCCCAUCCAGAGCUAUACGGGCAUGCACUGACACUUAUGGGCGAUAACAAUAUUUGGCGAAGACGACAUUGCAGAGGAUUAACAUGGCAAAGAAUCAUAGUCCCAAAUUACAAGUUUGAGCAUCCGUGACGCUGAACAGAAUCUUGUUUAUCAAGACAAGGCCGAAAGAGACACAUUGAAAGACGGAGUACGAACUAGUCAAGACGUCAAGUCAGAUCUUAGGAGCAGGAUCGUCACUUUACCCACGCUGUUGAUUAGAGCAAUUGACAGCCGCCAAGCAGCAGUCGGCCGUAAGGAUUAACUAUGUUAGGGAGAGCAUCUAGCCCAUAGAAGAGGACAUGGUUGAGAGUGAUUUGGAAAGCGUUAAGGAAAUGACUUCCAUGUUUUUUGUGGAAUGAUGGACAGAAUGACUAUGGUUUUAUUUCAUGUAGAUCUUCACAAAUUCAGCAUGGCGUAACCCAGUCCCGCCGCGACCGCUUCCUGCCGCUCGCAACGGUCGCUCACUCGCCAGAUAUUUGGCCCUUAUCUGUACACACAACGUCAUCAAGUGGUUUUUUUCGAUUCUGCCCCCGCCAAAACAAGGGGAGUAAAGAAGCAAGUAACAUUUCACCUCUC